GACGAACGCUGGCGGCGUGCCUAACACAUGCAAGUCGAACGGAAAGGCCCUGCUUUUGUGGGGUGCUCGAGUGGCGAACGGGUGAGUAACACGUGAGUAACCUGCCCUUGACUUUGGGAUAACUUCAGGAAACUGGGGCUAAUACCGGAUAGGAGCUCCUGCUGCAUGGUGGGGGUUGGAAAGUUUCGGCGGUUGGGGAUGGACUCGCGGCUUAUCAGCUUGUUGGUGGGGUAGUGGCUUACCAAGGCUUUGACGGGUAGCCGGCCUGAGAGGGUGACCGGCCACAUUGGGACUGAGAUACGGCCCAGACUCCUACAGUGGGCAGCAGUGGGAAAUAUUGCACAAUGGGCGGAAGCCUGAUGCAGCAACGCCGCGUGCGGGAUGACGGCCUUCGGGUUGUAAACCGCUUUCGCCUGUGACGAAGCGUGAGUGACGGUAAUGGGUAAAGAAGCACCGGCUAACUACGUG
rnacentral:rRNA from 1 species